rnacentral:misc_RNA from 1 species
AACGCACAUUGCACCCUCUGGUAUUCCGGAGGGUAUGCCUGUUUGAGUAUCAUUAAUAUCUCAAAACAGACAGGUUAUUAUCUGUUCUGCUUGGAUGUUGAAGGCUUGCUGGUGUAAGACUGGCUCCUUUGAAAUGCAUUAGCCGAAACCAUGCAUUAAACUGGCUUCAGUAUGAUAAUGCUUUAUCUGUAUUACUGUCGCCUGUGAAUAAGCAAAUCUGUUUCAGCUUCUAAUUGCCUUGUGGGCUGUCUCUUUUGAGGCAUACUUUGAUACUUGAUCUCAAAUCAGGUAGGACUACCCGCUGAACUUAA